GCCAGGGGGAGGUGCUGAGCGCCUCUUGUCUUUCCUCACAGGGAGGAGAUGUACUACAAGGCCGUGCACAACACCGCCGUCCUCUUCCUGCAGAACAGCGCAGGCUUUGCCAAGUGGGAGCCCACGCCGGAGCGGCUGCAGGAGCUCGUUGCGGCCUACAAGCACUCGGGCCGCACCCUCAGCUCCUCGUCCUCGUCGUCCUCGUCCUCCUGCGACAAGGAGCGGGAGCUGGGCCGCGAGCAGAGCGGCAGCCGGGAGCCGAAUGCCAACUGAGGUGCAGAGGUGAGAGGCAGCAGGGGAGGCGCCGGCGGCCCCGAGGAGGCUCGCCAGGGCAGGCGGAGAGACUGCUGGCUGCGCAGCACCGGCCCGGGGGACUCUUGCCCGGCAGCGCCACGGAGCCCCCGGCCGGGAGAGGAGCUGGGCUGCAGCCACGCCGCGGGGCGAGGGAGCCACGCGUGGGCGGCAGGACGAGCGCCCGAGCACGGAGGGAAGCGAGGAAGGAAGGGGCAGCAGGAGAGGAGUUCUUUGGUGUGUAAAGACGUCUUUGCAGCUGUUUUGUAGUCGUUGUGGUUUUUAUGCGGAGCCUCCGGGCUGUAUUUAACCUCCUUGGGUUUUGUUUUGUAAGGAUUAAUUUAACACCGCUAACCAUUUUAUUACUUUUAUCGAGAAGAGCAAA
rnacentral:lncRNA from 1 species